rnacentral:rRNA from 1 species
CCUACGGGAGGCAGCAGUGAGGAAUAUUGGUCAAUGGGCGCGAGCCUGAACCAGCCAAGUAGCGUGAAGGAUGACUGCCCUACGGGUUGUAAACUUCUUUUAUAAAGGAAUAAAGUGAGGCAUGCGUGCCUUUUUGUAUGUACUUUAUGAAUAAGGAUCGGCUAACUCCGUGCCAGCAGCCGCGGUAAUACGGAGGAUCCGAGCGUUAUCCGGAUUUAUUGGGUUUAAAGGGAGCGUAGAUGGGUUGUUAAGUCAGUUGUGAAAGUUUGCGGCUCAACCGUAAAAUUGCAAUUGAUACUGGCAGCCUUGAGUACAGGUGAGGUAGGCGGAAUUCGUGGUGUAGCGGUGAAAUGCUUAGAUAUCACGAAGAACUCCGAUUGCGAAGGCAGCUUACUAGACUGCAACUGACAUUGAUGCUCGAAAGUGUGGGGAUCAAACAGGAUUAGAUACCCGGGUAGUC